UACGGAGGGAGCUAGCGUUGUUCGGAAUUACUGGGCGUAAAGCGUACGUAGGCGGUUAUUCAAGUCAGAGGUGAAAGCCCGGGGCUCAACCCCGGAACGGCCUUUGAAACUAGGUAGCUAGAGUCUUGGAGAGGUUAGUGGAAUUCCGAGUGUAGAGGUGAAAUACAUAGAGAUGUCAUAGAACACCGAUUGCGAAGGCAGCUGACGAAACUAUAACUGACACUGAGGCUCGAAAGUGCGGGGAUCAAACAGG
rnacentral:rRNA from 1 species